UACGGAGGGUGCAAGCGUUGUUCGGAUUUAUUGGGCGUAAAGCGCGUGUAGGCGGUUUCUUAAGUCUGAUGUGAAAGCCCCGGGCUCAACCCGGGAAGUGCAUUGGAUACUGGGAGACUUGAAUACGGGAGAGGGUAGUGGAAUUCCUAGUGUAGGAGUGAAAUCCGUAGAUAUUAGGAGGAACACCAGUGGCGAAGGCGACUUCCUGGCCUGUUCUUGACGCUGAGGCGCGAAAGCUAGGGUAGCAAACGGG
rnacentral:rRNA from 1 species